GGAAUCUGCCUAUAAGUGGGGGAUAACAUUCGGAAACGGAUGCUAAUACCGCAUAUAUUCUUGGACCGCCUGGUCCUUGAAAGAAAGACGGCUUUGGCUGUCGCUUAUAGGAUGAUCCCGCGGCGUAUUAGUUAGUUGGUGGGGUAAAGGCCUACCAAGACAAUGAUACGUAGCCGACCUGAGAGGGCGAUCGGCCACACUGGGACUGAGACACGGCCCAG
rnacentral:rRNA from 1 species